rnacentral:rRNA from 1 species
UACGUAGGUGGCGAGCGUUAUUCGGAUUCACUGGGCGUAAAGGGUCCGUAGGGGGUCUGCCAAGUCUGAUGUGAAAUCCCGCGGCUCAACUGCGGAACGGCAUUGGAUACUGGCGGGCUGGAGUCUGCGAGGGGUGAGCGGAAUUCCUGGUGUAGCGGUGGAAUGCGUAGAUAUCAGGAAGAACACCGAUGGCGAAGGCGGCUCACUGGCGCAGUACUGACCCUGAGGGACGAAAGCGUGGGGAGCAAACAGG